rnacentral:sRNA from 1 species
AUGACAUUGUGGUGAGUCAGUAUAUUUGACUGACUUUAGUUAUAGUAGUUGUUUGGCAAUGCAUUGAAAUUGUGGAAAAGUAUAAUUUGUCCUUGUGAUAUUCAUUUAGAGAAAUUAAGUUAAUUACUUUAAUGCAUAAAGGAACACAAUCACUAAUAAAUAAAAUGAUUAAGAGAAUCUAUGGAUAUGAUGUGGCUCUACAACACACGUGCAUGGCGUGCCACGCACUUAUUGUGCAGAACUCUAAUACUGUUUUUGUAACUCCUUUCAUAGAGCGGUGUUACAAAAUGCUAGCUUGAACAAGACAUCUACACCCAAAAUGAUCCUUUAUAUUUUUUAAACCCUAGUUGAAAUCUUGUGCUUAAGGAGAGAUCCAUUCAUAUACUUAACCUCAUCUGAAGUUAACGAAGAAACUUAUUUGCCAUAAAACUUUAAUCUAUCAUGUUUGGAUCUUGAGGUUACCUCUAGUUUAAUCAUAUGAUUUUUCAUUUUUUCAAGUUCAAUAUGUUGUAAUUUAUGGAUUAAUGGAGGACUACAGAAUACAAAUGAACCCAUAGUUUAGGGUGACAACUAAAACUAAUCUUUUUGUUUAAGAUAAAUAUUAAUCCAAGUUUUACUGUAGAUUUCUAAUUGGUAAAAUGUUGCGCAACAAAAUAUAAUAUACAGAUCUUAGAUAAAUCAUAAGACGAAGGUGUUUCAUAUACAUAGAUUUGAGUCUAGGCACUAAUAGUAGUAAUCAAACUCUCAGAUUUCCAACUGUUAUUUCAAGGUCAUCUUAUCAAGCUCAAUUUAUCAUAAUGCAAAAUUGCUUCAGUUUUGUGAGUCAAAAGCUAUAGUGGCAGUCCUAUGUUCUGUGAACUUGGGAUCUCAUUCUCUUCUAAAGUCUCAUUUGCCAUAGGCCCAUAGCACAGUACCCAAAUAGUUUUUAUUUUUAUUUUUAUACAAGAUAGAAAUUCUACUAUAGUCUAAGUUAAAUGUACAUGUGUGUGAAGCUCAUUCUUGAAGACUUAAACCCCGCUUUUACCCCUCACACUACAGACACUUAUACUUGUGAAGUGACCAUCGUAAUAAAGAUAUGCGGUGGUCCAAAUAGUAUUGCCUAAUUAGACGUCUUAUAAGCAAUAUACAAAUAUUUAAAAUUUAUCGUAUCUACAUAUUUAUUAACGGUACACUUUAAAGUUUAAAGAAUAUCAAAUAUUUAAGGUAAAAUUAUAAAUUGCAUCCUUUAACUUCACACAAAAUUUAAUUCAAUCAUGUAAUUUUGAUUUUUGAUUUUUAUUUUUUAAUUUGAGUCCUCUAAGUUUCUUUCUUGUCAAUUCAUUUCUCCCAUCUACUCUGUUAACACUACAAAAAAGGCGCAGUGGGGCUGCAUUUUGGAGUUGCGUUUUUCAAAAACGCAGCUUCAGGGUACUGUUUAAGCUGCGUUUUUCAUAAACGCAGCUUCAGAGUACUGUUUGAGCAGCGUUUUAGAAAAACGCAGCUCCACCACUGGAUAUAUAGGGGGGGUUUGGAUUCCGCGUUUGCGUUUCAGCAAACGCGUUUUCCUCCCUUUUUUUUUGUUUUUUUUUUUUUGCCGCAUUUUUUUACUUUUGGGAGACAAAAAAGCUGUGCAUGAACAGUGCGUGCACUGUUCACGUACUGUUCAUACACUGUUCAUAUAAUAAAAAAUAUUAAAAAUGGGUCCCACGGUACUAUUUACACAUUUAAAAAUUAUUUUGCUACAGUGUUUUCAGUUUUCAGUUUUCAGUUUUCAGUUUCAGCAACAAUAAGUUCAAUCCAAACACACCCUAUAGCUACGUUUACUAAAGAAAACGCAGCUUUAGACCUAUCCGGAGAAUUUUUUUUUUCUUUUUUUUAAUAUAUCCUAGAGCUGCGUUUAUUAAAACGCAGCUCAAAAUCGUCUAGAGCUGCGUUUGACCAAACGCAGCUCCAGGUAUGUUUAAGCUGCGUUUAAUCAAACGCAGCUCUAAGAUUGCUAUAAAUUGAAAAAAAAUCCUAAAUUUCAACACAGACCCGAUACCAUUGAAAAAAAUUCUCUGCUCUCUCAACCUAGCUCCCCGAUCCCUAAUCCUAUCGUCGUGCCCUCACAACCUCUCGCCGCCGUGCUCUCAAACAACCUAAUACACCCAUCUCAUCACGCGCAGAAUCCGAUCCCUCUCCAUUUUCUCCCUCUGCAUUUCUGGCACUUCCCCACUCUCCGCCAUUGCCUCUCUCAACCCAUGCGUCGUCAUCCUCUCCGGCGAACCCCACUCCGUCCACACCUCCGAUUCCCCUUCGUUUCUGCCUGAGUUCCCCGAAUGGGCCGAGGCCAACGACGUCGUAGUUUUGGGGAUUUGUUAUGGGCUGCAGCUCAUUGUUCAGAGGCUCGGCGGCGAGGUCAGGGUUGGAAAGAAGCAGGAGUAUGAGAGGAUGGAGAUUGGGGUGGAGAAGAGCGCCACGCUUUACGGGUCGAAACGAGUUGGGGAUAGGCAGCUUGUGUGGAUGAGCCAUGGGGAUGAGGUGGCUAGGUUGCCUGAUGGGUUCGAAGUCGUUGCGCGGAGCCAGCAGGGUGCGGUGGCUGCACUUGAGAACCGGGUUAAGAGGUUUUAUGGCCUCCAGUACCAUCCGGAGGUAUAAUUUGGUUUUGUGUGAUUUUGUAUUUCAAAUGUUAAUUGGGUUUUGCUUGUUGAAUUUGUGAAAUAUAUGCAUGCAUUGUUUGAGUAACUGGGUUUGCUCUGCUUUUGUGAUUGAAUGUGUUUUUGGGUGAUUGCUUUGUAAGUUCAUAAGAGGUAUGGAAAUUGUUGUGGUUAUUUUUUGCUCGUGGAGGAACAGGUUUAAGUAUUGGGUUUGCUCUGCACGUCAGUACUUAUGAAAAAAUUCGAGAAAUUUUUUGUGUCCUUUGCAUUCCUUUGUUUUCCUGAAUUUAGUACAUAACAAUGGGCUAUAACUGCAAUAUUAAUCUCUACUAUUAACAAAUACAAAUUAUUUCCAAACUUUUAAAGCAACAGACAACCAAGCACUUAAAAGUUCAUAUUACCUCAAACAUUUUGGUUACCCAAAUGGUGUCAAUGUGUUUUUUUGUUUAUUGUUUUAUAGGAAUUGUAUUAUUUAUUACUUUGAUUAAAAAUUAGUUUUGUGGAUGAUGAUGGUACAUAAAUAUGUAAACGUAUAGACUACAAGUGUUAUUUUUGCAGCUUACUUUUAAAAAAAUUAUGGCAUUUAUUUAUCUGAGCAGGUUCUCCUAAAGGUUAGGGGAGAAUGGCAUAAAAUCAAUAUAAUCAAUUCCUUGUUUGAUUUAUUAUAUUAUUUUUGGUUGAAGUCAUUUUUUGGAUCAAUUUUGUUGUCAUCUAUUGGAGAGCUCUCACUUCUUGUUGGUUGGCUGGUAAUUAUGGGUUUAAAACUUUCAAAUCAAUGUUUAUAUUUCUGGCUCCAUAUGUGUGGUUUUAACUAAUUCCAUCACUACUAGUAAGCAUAUUUGUCCUGCUUCCUCUCUUUGCAUGCUUUAAACAUAUAUUUUUUUUUNCACUAAACACUUGAUACCUAAAUUUGGUACAACUCUUAUUCCAGCUUUCUAGAAGCUAAUCUUGGUAUAAUUUUUGAUAUGUUUAAAAUAGGAAGAGAAAAUGAAGGUGGCAAGUAAAGAAUGACAAACUAUAAUGAAGUACAUAAUAUAUUACGUGAAGAAGAAUAAGUAAAUAUCUUAUAAGAAUUACAUCUCAAUCUCAAUCUACUCAACGUUGGUAGACGUGGAAAAAUGGGCGGGUCGGGUCAGGUUCGGGUCGGGUCAAUCGGGUCACGGGUCAAAAUGGGUCAUUUUUAAACGGGUCAAACGGGUCGCGGGUCAAACGGGUCUGACCCGUUUUGCCAUGUCUAGUUUCUAGGACAGGUGUUGACCAGCUGACACAGAGGGUGGGAUCUAGCUUGUAUGACAGUGGGUCUUAAUUCUCAGAUGCAAAUUCAUUUGUAUUAUGUGAUUUUAUCAAACCACAUAUUUUCAUGUAGGUGGAGUGCCCCACCCACUGCCCGCCAAAAAUCCCCUUAUACUUUAAUUAAUGUUUUUUUUUCCCCCCCUAUAUUUGUGUGUGUGUGUGUGUAGCUUCAUUGAAAAUAGUAGAAAGGAAAUCUGUCCUAUUUUAUUAAUGCUUUUUGAGGUUUAAAAGUUAUAAAAAAAAAAUAUAUAUAUAUAUAUAUAUAUUAAAAAGGAAAAUAAAGAAAGCAACAAUUCAAUUGAAGAGAAAAAAUUUAGUUACCUUUAAAAGGUGUUAAAACCUCAAAUUUUAGCAUACUAUGUGGUUGUUGAUGUUCAGUGAGUUCAUAUGAAAGGGCAUUGGGUGUCUUGUCCUCCUUUAUUAUGCUGCGAAGUCCGUCUAAUAAGGGCAGCAAGUGUUCUCGCUUUGAGUUCGUCUUCGAUUAUAUUAAGGUAAUUUCUGAAUUUGGCAAAUAUGACAUUUUGAUUUCAUUAUUUUUUUCUGGUCCAAAAUUGUAUAGCUUUGUGGUGUAUGGACAAUUGUAGAUUCUGGACUUGGAGGAGCCUAUUUGAAAGAUGAAGAUUAUCCACGUAGCUGGCACCAAAAGGAAGGUACUAAAUUAUGUGAAGAAUUAGUGCUAAUUUGUAACAGAAAUUUAUGUGAAGAAUAAAUGUACACUCAAUAAAAUUUUUUGUAUAUGUAGUUAGACACUAAUUAAUCUUUUUUAUCUGGGGCUUGAAAAGGGAUCCACAUGCACUUCUGUAGAAUCAAUGAGGUGUACACCUCAUUGAUGUUCGAGAAAGGUUUCGUAUAGAUGGGUGAGAUUUUUAAUCCAUAAACAUGUGCUUUUUAGUUUUUACUAUAAUUAAAACGGAUGGUGUUUGGUGUUUUGAUUUCUUAUUCUCUUAGAAGAACACAACAUUGGUUUCUGUUUGCUUAGUGUAUUCCAUGAUUUCCUGUUAUUUUGGCGAAAAAAAAUCCAAUGAACUGUUUAAACUUAUAGCUUUUGGACACGUAAUUUGGGUAAUACCUACGUAGAUGGAGUAGAUCUUUGGUAGUGAUGUAUCUAAAAUUAAAGAUGUUCAUUCUUUCUCAUUUUCUGAUUUUUUUUGAGUAGAAAUAUUUACAGAAUAAUAAUAGUGGCAGGACUUAAUCAUCGAAAUUCUUAAAUAUGCAAGGAAGCGUUUAAAUAAAUGAUUUUAUAAAUUUAGAGGUUUUUUGCAGCACAAAAUCAUGGAGUCAUGGAAAUAGUCUAUCUCAGCAGAUGUUGAUGCUGCUGAAAUUUAUAAGAACAGUAACUGGCCAGCCAUAAAUUAAAAAUCAUUAAUUUUUGGUUUGUUAAUAUGAACUUUUGGUUUAGCCAUGAAAUUUAAAAAUUCUUGCAGCAGUGUUUUUGUGGCAGAGUAAUGAGAAAAUGCUUUGAGAUGAUUCAAAGUGGCAUAUGCUUAUAAGUUUCUAACCUAGACAAAACAAGUUACAGGGAUAGAGUCUUUUUAGUGCACUAUGUUCAUAUUAUAAUAACACUAGUAAACCAACCGUAUUCUCCAGAGUGAUAUACAUGACUCUGGGGGUUCUCUUGGUGUUAAAAUGAAAGUUUAGAGUGUAGUGUGGGGCUAAUAGAGUUUAAUAGUAGAAUGGGGGGACCUGUGAAUGGUAGAGUUUAUUAUUAUUAUUAUUUCCCCCUCCUUAAUAGAGCUAUUUUGGCCUGGAUAAUAAAUAAGUCCUCCUCAUAUAAAUAGUCACUUUUAUUGUUUUGUUAAAAUGGUCACAUUGAUAAGAUUUGCAAACCUAUAUAAUUACUCAGUCAAAUUCACAAACUGUAGUAAGGUUUAUUAAACAAGAAUAAUGGUAGAGAUAUAAUUUUGGUUUCCAAGGGCUGAGGUGCUCAACUCAAAGUAGCCCAGAAGGGUAUCAAGAAAUGAAUGAAUUUAUGUAUAUUUCAUUAAAUGAAAAAAAUGAGAGUACAAAACUAUUUGUAGAUCGAUCUAAUCUUGUAAACUACUAUAACUGAAUAACUGAAGCUAACAGAAGAAUAACUAACUCCCACACAUGCAGAAACUAACUCUCCCACAUGUGAACACUUAUACAACUAAAAACAGAGACUAAGCUACAUGCCAUUUAUGUACAAUAUUCAAAUACAAAACGGAUGUCGUUUAUGCAGCACUUUGUUCUUUACUGUGAUUAAGCUCCACUGUAUCAUGCUCUACUCUUGCUUCCUUGUAAUUAUCUUUGUUGUCACUCUGAUACUCCCCCUUAAGAGUAGCUGGUGUGUGUAUGUUCAUCAUUCCCAUUUUGUCAACAAGAUUAGAAAAUUGAUUGUACCCCAAUGCCUUGGUAAGCAUGUCUGCUAAUUGGCAAUGUGACCUCACAUGAUUUAGCUUGAUAACCCCUUCCAAAACUUUAUCCCUGACCACAUGGCAGUCUAUUUUAAUGUGCUUAGUCCUCUCAUGAAAAACGGGAUUGGAACCAAUGUGCAAUGCUGCCUGACUAUCACAGAACAACAAUGCCUCUUUGUCAUGUUUAACUCCAAUAUCCUUUAGAAAAUAUAGAAUCCAUACAAGUUCACAUGUUGCAACUGCCAUAGCUCUAUACUCCACCUCUGCUGAAGGCCUGGAAACUGUGGACUACUUCUUUGAUUUCCAAGACACCAAAGAAUCUCCAAUGAAAAUGCUAUAACCUGUUACUGACUUCCUUGUAUCAUAGCAUGAAGCCCAAUCAGCAUCUGCAAAACCUUUCAAAUGUAAAUCUGCCUUGGAAGAGAGCAUGAGACCCUUCCCUGGUUCAUUCUUCAGAUAUUGUAGGAUUCUAUAAGCUGCAUCUAGAUGUGGCUUUCUUGGCUUGGACAUGUAUUGGCUAAGUUUAUGGACAGCAAAAGUGAUGUCUGGCCUUGUGAUGGUCAGAUACAAUAACAUCCCAAUUAACCUUUUGUAGAUGCUAGGAUCUUUAAGUUCUUCACCUUCCAACUGACUUAGUUUCAGACUUUGUUCCAUAAGAGUUCUAGCUGGUUUACACCCCAACAUACCAACAUCAUUAAGCACUUCAAGAGUGUAUUUUCUUUGACAAAGUGCAAUUCCCUUGACUGAUCUGGCAACCUCCAGUCCAAGAAAGUAUUUCAAGUCACCUAAAUCUUUGAGCUUGAAUCUGUCAUCUAACAAAACCUUGAAUCUGUCUAUUUCAGCCUUAUCAUUGCAAGCUACUAAAACAUCAUCCACAUACACCAAAAGCAUCAUGAAAACAUCACCUUGCCUCCUAGUAAACAAUGAAUAGUCAGCUUUGGACUGAGUAAAACCAAGCUGGAUCAAGGUGCUAGAAAACUUGGCAAACCAUUGCCUAGAUGCUUGUUUAAGCCCAUGCAAAGACUUAUUCAGCUUACAAACUAUCUCCCCCUAGAAAUGAAACCCUUGUGGAAGAGCCAUAUAGACUUCUUCAUCCAAAUCACCAUGCAAAAAUGCAUUGUUUACAUCCAAUUGACUAAGGAACCAGCCCUUAAUGGCAGCCACAACAAGAAGUACCUUGACAGAAACCAUUUUGGCCACAGGAGAAAAAGUCUCAAAAUAGUCCACACCCUCUUUUUGUGUAAAACCCUUAGCUACAAGCCUUGCCUUGUACCUUUCAACUAAACCAUUGGCCUUAUACUUGAUCUUAUACACCAAUUUACACCCUAUAGGCUUCUUACUAGCAGGCAGGGGGGUUAAAGUCCAUGUUUGAUUUGCCUCAAGGGCAGCUAUUUCAGCAGUCAUGGCUUCUUGCCAUCUGGGAUCAGAAGCAGCUUGAUAAUAAUGGGUAGGCUCAACAAGGGAAGAAAUGGAACAGCCAAAAGAUUUGUAUGAAGGAGAGAGGUGUUGAUAAGAAAGAUGAGAAGAGAGUGGAUGAGAAGUACCUGAUUGGGAAGGAGAGACAGCAGUGACAGAUGAGACCUGAUUGCAGUGGUAAGCCAAUAAGUAAGAGGGUUGUUUGAUAGGUCUAGAAGAUUUUCUAAGGGGUAUAGGAUCAACAAUAGGAUCAGGGGGCUCAACUAGAACCUCAUCAAGUAAAUCAUCAUCAAUAGAAUGAUGAAUAUGAGUAAUUGAAUCAUGAGGAACAGCAAAAGUAGAUAUAGGAUGAAUUAAAGGAUCAAGAAGAGGAUUAACAGCUGGAAUACAAGACACAGGGAUAGAACAUGGUUGCUGGACAGACUUAAUUGAAUUUGAAACAAAAGGAAACACAUUUUCAUGAAAUGUGACAUCUCUAGAAACAAAAACCAUGUGAGAUUCAAGAUCAAAAACUUUAAAACCUUUAACAUUGAAAGGAAAACCAAGAAAGACACACUUCCUUGCUCUUAGGGAAAAUUUGGAUCUGUGUUGAGGAAUGGUGGAUGCAAAACAUAGGCAACCAAAAAUUUUGAGGUUAGAAUAGUCUGGAACUUUGUGAAAGAGAAGCUCAAAAGGAGUCUUAUUAUGUAACAAAGGAGUUAGAAGCCGAUUGAUGAGGCAGGCAGCAUGUAAUACACAAUCACCCCAAAACUGAAGAGGGAGUUGGGAUUGAAUUUGUAAGGCUCUAGCUAUGCAAAGGAGGUGCUAAUGUUUCCUCUCCACAACAGAAUUUUGUUGUGGAGUGUAAAUACAGCUGGUUUGAUGCACAAUUCCAUGAGAAUUGAAGAAAUCAGGCAUGUGAAAUUCCUUGGCAUUAUCAGUUCUUACUGCUUUGAUUUUAAGACUAAAUUGAGUAUGAACCAUAAUGUAGAAAGAAUAGAAAAGCUGCCUAACUUCAGAUUUAGACUUCAUUAAAAAUAACCAUGUUGCUCUUGUAGCAUCAUCCACAAUAGUUAGAAAAUAUUUGAAGCCAUCUAAAGUAGGAGUGGAGUAGGGACCCCAGACAUCCAUAUGAAUCAAAUCAAAAGCAUGAGAACUGAUAUUAUUAUGAAAAGGAAAGGGCAAUCUCUUAAGUUUUGCCAUAGGACAGAUCUGACAGCCUUUAUUACAAGAAAGUUUUAAAGAAGGAAUUACAUGACAUAGACUAUUGAGUUUGACAUCAGAGGGGUGCCCCAACCUGUCAUGCCAGAUAGAUGAAGAUUGAGAUUGAGAAGGGACAGAUGUAGAAGCAACAACAGUGAAAUGACCAAAAGUAUCAGUAAGAUUGUGAGCAGACAAGAAGGUAGCAAAUGAAGACCUGGAUGAUUGUUGAAGACUGUUUGACUGCAACAGGUACAAUCCAUCAUGUGCCUUACCUACCCCAAUCGUUUUCCAGAAAAUAAGGUCCUGAAUGAAGCAAUAAGCAGACAGAAAAAUACAACAAAAUGGCUGUGAAUGAGUUAAAGAACUGAUAGACAAAAGAUUAAAAGAAAAGGAUGGGACACAAAGAACAUCCUUAAGAAUUAGGGAAGGGGAAAGAGUAACAGUUCCAAUGUGGGUUACUUGAGCUGAUUCCCCAUUAGGUAAUUGAACCAAAGACUGCCUAAUAGCUGUGAUUGAGGUUAGCAAAUCUACUGAACAUACAAAGUGAUUAGUUACACCAGUGUCCAAUACCCAGGUUUUACCACUAUAAGCCCUCCUAUUUACCACAUGUGCAGCAAAAACACUAUGGGAAAAAUCCAUACCUGCCAUUGCCACAUUGGCAGAAGUAGAGGAGGAUGUUGCAUUGGCCAUUGGAGUAUCUAAUGCUUGAGAUGGUGUUGCAAGGGAGGAGCUAGAUGCACCAAACAAAGCUAAAAGUUGUUGACACUACUCAGGGGUGAAGGCAGAAAAUUGAUGCAUUGGAGAAGCAAACUCUGAACUUGAACCUGAGGAGACUUGAUGUGCCAUAGCAAGCUCGUACUUGAACUUAAAACCAGGAGGAAACCCAUGUAAUUUGUAGCAUUUAUCCAUAGUAUGACCAGUUUUGCCACAGUGGGUACAAACUAGCCUAUCCUUGCCCUUCCCACCAGAAUUAACAAGAUUGGUAACAUGAUUGACUUGAUCAGUGGACACCUUAAUAGCCAAAGCAGUAGAGUCUACUUUAACAACAGGUGCAUUUGGGAUUGAUCUUUGGGUUUCUUCUUGAAUCAUCAAAGAGUAAACCUUGCUAAGGGAUGGAAUAGGAUCCAUGAGCAACACCUGAGACCUAACUUGGGAAAAAGACUCAUUCACUCCCAUUAAGAAUUUCAUCACAGACUCUCGACCUUGUAGAUCAUUAAGCCUUUUGUUGAUAUUGCACAUACACUUUCCACAGGUGCAAGUGGGAAACGGACUAAGAUUUUGUAACUGAUCCCAAAAGACUUUCAACUGGGUAAAGAAGUCAGUGAUGCUCAUCUCACCUUGGUGUAGCUUUGCAAUUUCCUUUUGAAGGUUGAACACUCUUGGUCCAUUGGUUUGGGCAAAACAGUUCUUCAAGUCAUUCCAUAUUUCUAGAGCAGUAUCUUCGUAUAUAAUGCUUGCUUGAAGCUUCGAAGAGACUAAAUUGGUUAGCCAAGUUCCAACCAUGUUGUCACAUCUAAUCCACGCUUGCACAGGAGUAGAAACCAAUGGUGAUGAGAGAGUAAGAGUCCCAUCAAUAAAUCCCAGCUUAUUCUUGGUGAGCAAAGCCUUCCUCACAGCUCAAGCCCAAGCAGAGUAGUUUUCUCCACCAAUCAAAGGUUGUGUAACUAGCACUAAGCUUGGGUUCUCAGCAUGAUGCAAGAACAGAGGAUCAUCCAUUGGUGGUUCUUGAGAAGAAGAGGAAGAUGGAUUUCCAGGUAUAGAACCAUUAGUAGAACCAGUUGUGGUUGUGGUUGUGGCAGCGGAAGCCAUUGAUGAUAAAGAAAAGAAGAUUUUCUUUAAAGAAAGAAGAAAGAAGAAUUUUCUCAGACAACAGAGUGCUUUCUCGAGAAAAUUGAAGAAGAAAAAGAAAGAAAAUAAAACCCUAAAAAGAUUUGGAAAUUUGCUCUGAUACCAUAUCAAGAAAUGAAUGAAUUUCUGUAUAUUUCAUUAAAUGAAAAAAUGAGAGUACAAAACUAUUUAUAGAUCGAUCUAAGCUUGUAAACUACUCUAACUGAAUAACUGAAGCUAACAAAAGAAUAACUAACUCCCACACGUGCAGAAACUAACUCUCCCACAUGUGAACACUUAUACAACUAAAAACAGAGACUAAGCUACAUGCCGUUUAUGUACAAUAUUCAAAUACAAAACGGAUGUCGUUUAUGCAGCACUUUGUUCUUUACUGUGAUUAAGCUCCACUGUAUCGUGCUCUGCUCUUGCUUCCUUGUGAUUAUCUUUGUUGUCACUCUGAUAAAGGGUAAUAGUUGUACUGGGGUCAGUUGACUGGAAGUUUUUUGUUUUCUUAACUCUAGCUUAGUUGCCCCAAUAAAGGAUUAUGAGACAAACAUGUAAUGGGAUUUUUCAUUUUGUCACUAGGAAUUGAUUUUGAUUUUGAUUUUGAUUUUGAUUUUGAUUAAUGACUUGAAUUUACAAUCAAUUCUUUCUUAUUGAUUUUUCUUGACUUCACAUAUUUGAUGCUAUAGGUUGAUUACUGGAGUUCUGCAGCUAGCUGAGGGUUCACACUUAAUCGUUGAUGAGACCCAAUUGAAAGCAGGGACCCUCAACCCUGUUGGAGUGGAUAAUACAUGGCUGUUAAAAAAUUUGAUGGAGCCGCAGAAGGUACUUCAUCGUUUGUAUAUGUAUGCAUGUUUACAUAUAUAUCUCCUACUCCUUGUAUAUUGGCCUAUAUGAAUUAAGACUUGAGAGAGAUGUGCUGGACUUUCUAGUGCACAAUAGUAGGCAAAAUCUGCAUUACGUUUUCUGCUAAAGUCAGAUUAUGUUGCAAGAAAUAUUACCUGUGCCUUAGCUUCAUGGAGCUACUAGAUGGGUGUUGCUCAUAGACAUGAUUUGCAAUAUAUGAACUUGAUAUAUUUAGGCGCCUGUCUGUCAAGCUUUGCAAGGAGGAGGGGCUUAAAGAACUUUAAGCACUCUAGCAAAAUUUACCAUGUGCUUGGCAAUUUUGCUAAAGAGCUCUAAGAACCAACUAGAAGUUGAGAAAUAAAGUUGUGGUUUAAUAUAUAUAGAGAGGUGGAGGGUGUGAGUUUUGGACACGUAUUUGUGACAUGGUGAGUAAGGGCUUUGCAUGAGGAACAAGUUUCAAGGCUACUGUUUAGGUUCAGUUGAUAUCGACUUGUGGCUUGGGUAUCUCUAUCACUAAGUUCAUUAAAAGGAAGUGAGCUUACCUUUAUGUGUGUACUGAUGUACUCAUGUGCAUGUACCCUUUAAUUAAUUCUUGUCUAUUCUCUACACUCUAGAGAAUCUAGAGAUUGACUUGCUGGCGACAAAUAUCUAGAUUUGGAUGAAUAUAAACCAUUCUUUUAAACUUUUAAUCAAUUGAAAAAUUUUGACUUACAGAUUUUCUAGGAGUUCCAAGUCAUGUGUUAGAACUUAGAAGCCCGAUUUAAUUUGUUCUAGCUAGAUUGUAUUAGAGCAUUUUCUUGGUUUGACUAUUAGUUUUAUCCUUCCUCCUGAAUUCAUGUUGCAUGGUAAGUGUUGCGUACGAGUGAAUGUUUUAAGACAAUCUGGAGGGAGGGAAGUUGGAUAACUUUGUGGAAAAUAAGUUGUGGUUUUUAUUGCUUUUUCUUAGCGGGUCCUGAUUUUAAAAUUGUAUGGUAUGGCACAUUUACCGAUUUAUACAUCUAACAUCACUUUCAUCUAGGUCUAAUCAUUAUCAAUUCUAUUAUGCACCAAUUAUAACUAAACACAUAUAUUUGUGAGAUACGUAUGGAACAUGAGCUUAAUUUAUUAUGUAAAAUAUAUCCAAGAGUUCAAACAAGUGAUUACAAAGCAUAAGAUGGUUUGCUACUUGUGUUUGUUUGUGAAAAAUGGUUCUUUUUAACUUUGUGAGUGUAGGAAAAUGGUUUGCUAUUUCUGUUUUUUUGUCUCAAAUUUUGUUCUUUAUGGACUUGAACCUUAAAUUUCUGCAGGGAGCAAGCUUACUGCAAGGAAGUGAUGGCAGGUAUGGCAAGACUGGAACUUUGAGGUCAGUUGGGAAGUGUUGUUGCUGCUUGCUGGCUAUGGCUAUACUUCUUCAUGCAAUUAGAAUGUAA